rnacentral:rRNA from 1 species
GACGAACCGUGCGAACGUUGUUCGGAUUCACUGGGCUUAAAGGGCGCGUAGGCGGCUUGCCAAGUCAGGGGUGAAAUCUUUCGGCUCAACCGGAAAAGUGCCUUCGAUACUGGCGAGCUAGAGGGAGGUAGGGGUGCGUGGAACUUCUGGUGGAGCGGUGAAAUGCGUAGAUAUCAGAAGGAACGCCGGUGGCGAAAGCGACGCACUGGAUCUCUACUGACGCUGAGGCGCGAAAGCCAGGGGAGCGAACGGG